ensembl:misc_RNA 7SK 7SK RNA
GGAUGUGAGGGCAGUCUGGCUGUGAUGUCUGUCACCCCAUUGAUGGCAAGGGCUGAUUCAGCUGAUCAGGCUGGCUAGGCUGUUGUCCCCUUCUUCCCUCCGUACUUCAUGUGUGUUCCUCACAAAACGGCAUGCUUGCUAGAAGAAGAGGACCUUCCCCCAAAUAGAGAGGGCUCUAGUCUUUGAUCAAGGCUAUAGAGUAGCUGUGCUCCCAUGUUAGAAAUUCCAUACAAGCUCUCAAGAAUAUGUAAAUACCUCAUUUCUCUCUAUGCUAGUUAUUGUUUUUUUCAAUGAAGUUUACU